rnacentral:rRNA from 1 species
UACGUAGGGGGCAAGCGUUGUCCGGAUUUACUGGGCGUAAAGCGCGUGUAGGCGGCUACGCAGGUCCGUUGUGAAAACUGGAGGCUUAACCUCCAGACGUCGACGGAAACCGCGUGGCUAGAGUCCGGAAGAGGAGAGUGGAAUUCCUGGUGUAGCGGUGAAAUGCGCAGAUAUCAGGAAGAACACCAAUGGCGAAGGCAGCUCUCUGGGACGGUACUGACGCUGAGACGCGAAAGCGUGGGGAGCGAACAGG